rnacentral:tRNA from 1 species
UAGUAGUUAGUAUAGGCUUACAUUUCGUUUACACCGAAAAGACGGGAAUGGGUCCCACUGCUAA